GUGGGGUACGGGGACCUGGUCCCCAGUGGGGUGUGGGGGAAACUCGUGGGGACACUGUGUGUGAUAGCGGGUGUACUCACUAUAGCUCUUCCUGUGCCUAUCGUUGUGAAUAAU
rfam:Lingula anatina scaffold320, whole genome shotgun sequence.